rnacentral:rRNA from 1 species
CCCUUAGAUGUUCUGGGCCGCACGCGCGCUACACUGACGGAGUCAACGAGUUGUCCUGCAUCUGAAGGUGUGGGUAAUCUUUUGAAACUUCGCCGUGCUGGGGAUAGAUCUUUGCAAUUUUCGAUCUUGAACGAGGAAUUCCUAGUAAGCGUGAUUCAUCAGAUCGCGUUGAUUACGUCCCUGCCCUUUGUACACACCGCCCGUCGCUACUACCGAUUGAAUGGUUUAGUGAGGCCUCGGGACUGGCGCGCUCGAGUAGCAAUACACCUGCGCGCCGGGAACUUGGUCAAACUUGAUCAUUUAGAGGAAGUAAAAGUCGUAACA